rnacentral:hammerhead_ribozyme from 1 species
GCACUGCUGAGGAGUCCCACAAUUGAACGAAAUGGCCGUCCAGUGC